rnacentral:rRNA from 1 species
GCGGUAAUUCCAGCUCCAAUAGCGUAUAUUAAAGUUGUUGCAGUUAAAAAGCUCGUAGCUGAACUUCAGGCCUGGCUGGGCGGUCCGCCUCACGGCGUGUACUGUCUGGCUGGGUCUUACCUCUUGGUGAGCCGGCGUGCCCUUUAUUGGUGUGCGUC